UUAGAAACCCCAGUAGUCCGCCUGAUGUGCCAGCAGCCGCGGUAAUACGUAGGGCGCAAGCGUUAUCCGGAAUUAUUGGGCGUAAAGAGCUCGUAGGCGGUUUGUCGCGUCUGCCGUGAAAGUCCGGGGCUUAACCCCGGAUCUGCGGUGGGUACGGGCAGACUAGAGUGCAGUAGGGGAGACUGGAAUUCCUGGUGUAGCGGUGAAAUGCGCAGAUAUCAGGAGGAACACCGAUGGCGAAGGCAGGUCUCUGGGCUGUAACUGACGCUGAGGAGCGAAAGCAUGGGGAGCGAACAGG
rnacentral:rRNA from 1 species